UACGUAGGGGCCUAGCGUUGUCCGGAUUUAUUGGGCGUAAAGAGCUCGUAGGCGGUUUGGUUAGUCAGGUGUGAGAUCUCCACGCUCAACGUGGAGGGGCCACCUGAUACUGCCAUGACUUGAGUCCGGUAGGGGAGUGUGGAAUUCCCGGUGUAGCGGUGAAAUGCGCAGAUAUCGGGAGGAACACCGAUGGCGAAGGCAGGUCUCUGGGCCACUACUGACGCUGAGAAGCGAAAGCAUGGGGAGCGAACAGG
rnacentral:rRNA from 1 species